UGGGUUUAUGUAUUGUAUUUUCUUUAGUACUUUACAUAUAAGGUUGGAAAUACAAGGUUUUUGUUUAUCAGGAGAAUACAGGAAAUUGAACAGUGCUCUGUACAUGAACAUAGUAUCGUCAGUGUGAUGGGACCAUGGUCACCACAACUGUUCGGUUUGCACAUCUCCACGUUUGGGUACGAUUCAAAAGUAUUCAACCACAUGAAGGUCAAGUCUCUAGCAGCAGCUUGCAGAAGAAAGAGAAUGUACACAUAGUUAUGCACACCUUCACCAAAGUCACAUUACAAAAUUGUUUUGCUUAUACAUAUAUACAUGUAGGAAGGAAACAUAUGAAAAUUAUUAGAAGCCAUACAUUUUUUUUUUAAAUCAAGACAGGUUAUAAGUGAUCCCUGAAAGCUUAAAUCAACUUGGAAAGUCAGAAACAAUAUACAUAUAAAAAGAAUGUUAAAAAGCUGCUAUUAGAAACUUAACCGACUAUUGUUGGUAAGCAGUGGUACUGAUUUGGGUCACAGAAAUACAAGAGACAAAAUACCCAUUUGAUGAUCAAAGUACAGUAGAGAAUUAAUACAUUCAUCCUGAGACACCUUUUUUUUUAAUGGGGGUUGCAACGGCCAGCUUUAGCCAACAGGAAAUUUCCUCAAUGCAUUUGUUUGUAAUCGUAUGUAAUGUCUUUGAUUUUCAGGGAUUUACCAAGGCUUGUUAACAGGGUUAACAAGUGAUUUAGAUUUAAUCUCAAAGGUAAUUAUACAAAUAAACCACUUGGAUCCUAUAUUGUAUGACACUAAAAUAACUAAAUAGCAGGUAGGUCAGUUGAUGUUUGUGUGGAAAUUAAUUGAUGUAAAAUUCAACUGACAGCUUGGGUACCCUUUCUACGUUCAUUGUGGUCGUAUUGGGUAUAAUGUGUUGAACAAAAAUAGAAACUAGCAGCCCUAUGCAGAACCAACAAAUAAAAAUGUAAACAUUAUCCAUCCUGUACAUUUUUUGUUAAUCCAGAAUGUAAAUUACCAUAUAAUCUGUGGCCUCAUUUAUGAACUGUUACACCACAAUAUUUGUGUCAACUCAGAAUUUAAUUAAAUCCUGCAAAC
ensembl:lncRNA